AUUUGGCAGGUCUCUUCGUAGAGGUUUAGUGGCCAGGGCUGCAGCAUGGUGGAGGGAGUCGCUGAGGGUGUUUUGGAACAGUUUAAUGUUAGAUCCUACAGGCAAAAGUCUUCGAUUGUCAGGAAGUAAGUUUGGGUGCUGGUCCAUCGUGAUGUGUACAAAAACAGAAUAAACUCCAAAGUCAAUGGCUGAGGGAUUUUUUCGCCGGUCGUGUGGGAAAUGAGUAGGACCACCCGUCGCCAGGAUGUCCAGUUUCUUGUCAGCCUGGAUCACAUCAAGGAGAGUUCUGCCGCGUUUACAUGACCUUGAAUUACCCCACUUUUUAAGGUAAGGCGUUUGAUCCGCCUGGCCUCAGUCUUUCGAUUGAGGCAGCUUUUUAUUUUUUGCCCUUUCACCUACAAGGGUAUAUAGCAAAAAUUAAAAUUUAAAAGGCCGUUACAGCAGCAGGGGCGGGGGGAUUAAAAUUAUCUUAAAACUAGAUUAAUACUAAAUAAAAAAUAUACAAUAAGACAUUAGAUUAACAUUUAGUUUUUAGCGAUUUAGGUAAGAUAGUUUGUAGUAUGAUAGAUUUAAGAUUAUGUUACUUUUAGCAUAAGUAGUCAAGUAGGUAGCAAUUUUUUAAUAAUAAACUUGGCGAAUAAGAAUUUGGUGCUAAGGUGGCUACAAAAACGUGGCGAUUAAUGUCGGGGGAAAAAACUGGUUUUCCCCCACACUGGAGAAAAAAGUAGGGAGACCCAUAUUUUGGGUCUGAGUAACACUAGUUUUUUAGCUUGGCCGUUGGCGCAUCAAUUGCGAGCAAGGCUUAGCUUUAAAGGCUAAAAGUUUUAGAGCAGUUAGCUUUUAGUUGAGUUAGCUUUAUAGGCUAGAAGUUUUAGAGCAAUUAGCUUUUAGUGGAGAAAAACAU